rnacentral:tRNA from 1 species
AAUGAAUUGCCUGAUAAAAGGGCUACCUUGAUAGGGUAAAUCAUGUGAUUAAUAUCACAUUCAUUA